rnacentral:rRNA from 1 species
UACGAAGGGGGCUAGCGUUGCUCGGAAUUACUGGGCGUAAAGGGCGCGUAGGCGGUUCUGUUAGUCAGGCGUGAAAUUCCUGGGCUCAACCUGGGGGCUGCGCUUGAUACGGCGGAACUAGAGGAUGGAAGAGGCUCGUGGAAUUCCCAGUGUAGAGGUGAAAUUCGUAGAUAUUGGGAAGAACACCGGUGGCGAAGGCGGCGAGCUGGUCCAUUACUGACGCUGAGGCGCGACAGCGUGGGGAGCAAACAGG